rnacentral:rRNA from 1 species
GAUGAACGCUGGCGGCGUGCUUAACACAUGCAAGUCGAACGGAAAGGCCUCUGCUUGCAGGGGUACUCGAGUGGCGAACGGGUGAGUAACACGUGGGUGAUCUGCCCUGCACUUCGGGAUAAGCCUGGGAAACUGGGUCUAAUACCGGAUAGGACAAUGGUUUGGAUGCUGUUGUGGAAAGUUUUUCGGUGUGGGAUGAGCUCGCGGCCUAUCAGCUUGUUGGUGGGGUAAUGGCCUACCAAGGCGUCGACGGGUAGCCGGCCUGAGAGGGUGUACGGCCACAUUGGGACUGAGAUACGGCCCAGACUCCUACGGGAGGCAGCAGUGGGGAAUAUUGCACAAUGGGCGCAAGCCUGAUGCAGCGACGCCGCGUGGGGGAUGACGGCCUUCAGGUUGUAAACUCCUUUCGCUAGGGACGAAGCGUUUUUGUGACGGUACCUGGAGAAGAAGCACCGGCUAACUACGUG